rnacentral:rRNA from 1 species
AUUGAACGCUAGCGGGAUGCUUUACACAUGCAAGUCGAACGGCAGCGCGGACUUCGGUCUGGCGGCGAGUGGCGAACGGGUGAGUAAUGUAUCGGAACGUGCCCAGUAGCGGGGGAUAACUACGCGAAAGCGUAGCUAAUACCGCAUACGCCCUACGGGGGAAAGCAGGGGAUCGUAAGACCUUGCACUCUUGGAGCGGCCGAUAUCGGAUUAGCUAGUUGGUGAGGUAACGGCUCACCAAGGCGACGAUCCGUAGCUGGUUUGAGAGGACGACCAGCCACACUAGGACUGAGACACGGCCCAGACUCCUACGGGAGGCAGCAGUGGGGAAUUUUGGACAAUGGGGGCAACCCUGAUCCAGCCAUCCCGCGUGUGCGAUGAAGGCCUUCGGGUUGUAAAGCACUUUUGGCAGGAAAGAAACGUCGCGGGCUAAUACCCCGUGGAACUGACGGUACCUGCAGAAUAAGCACCGGCUAACUACGUG